UACGUAGGGGGCAAGCGUUGUCCGGAAUUAUUGGGCGUAAAGCGCGCGCAGGCGGCUUUGUAAGCCUAGUGUUUAAGUUCGGGGCUCAACCCCGUAUCGCACUGGGAACUGCAAGGCUUGAGUGCAGAAGAGGAAAGUGGAAUUCCACGUGUAGCGGUGAAAUGCGUAGAGAUGUGGAGGAACACCAGUGGCGAAGGCGACUUUCUGGGCUGUAACUGAUGAUGAGGCGCGAAAGAGUGGGGAGCAAACAGG
rnacentral:rRNA from 1 species